rnacentral:rRNA from 1 species
AGUCCACGCUGUAAACGCUGUCGAUUUGGGGGUUGGGGUUUAACUCUGGCGCCCGUAGCUAACGUGAUAAAUCGACCGCCUGGGGAGUACGGCCGCAAGGUUAAAACUCAAAUGAAUUGACGGGGGCCCGCACAAGCGGUGGAGCAUGUGGUUUAAUUCGAUGCAACGCGAAGAACCUUACCUACUCUUGACAUCCUAAGAAGAGCUCAGAGAUGAGCUUGUGCCUUCGGGAACUUAGAGACAGGUGCUGCAUGGCUGUCGUCAGCUCGUGUUGUGAAAUGUUGGGUUAAGUCCCGCAACGAGCGCAACCCUUAUCCUUUGUUGCCAGCGACUUGGUCGGGAACUCAAAGGAGACUGCCAGUGAUAAACUGGAGGAAGGUGGGGAUGACGUCAAGUCAUCAUGGCCCUUACGAGUAGGGCUACACACGUGCUACAAUGGCGUAUACAGAGGGAAGCGAAGCUGCGAGGUGGAGCGAAUCUCAUAAAGUACGUCUAAGUCCGGAUUGGAGUCUGCAACU